GUGCCAGCAGCCGCGGUAAUACGUAGGCAGCAAACGUUGUUCGGAAUUACUGGGCGUAAAGAGUGUGUAGGCGGUCUUGUAAGUUCUGUGUGAAAUCUCCCGGCUUAACUGGGAGGGUGCGCCGAAUACUGCAAGGCUUGAGUACUGGAGAGGAUAGCGGAAUUCCUGGUGUAGCGGUGAAAUGCGUAGAUAUCAGGAGGAACACCGGCGGUGUAGACGGCUGUCUGGACAGUAACUGACGCUGAAACACGAAAGCGUGGGGAGCAAACAGGAUUAGAAACCCCCGUAGUCC
rnacentral:rRNA from 1 species